UCAUUUCGAUAUCAUGCAAUAUCCGAAUAUACUUUUUUUUUCUUCGUAGAAAUUCUUUCUUUUCAGUUGAAUCACACGACAGUGUAUAUUUUCAUCGUUACAAAUGUUGUGAUAAGUGGUAAUAUUAUAAGUGUGUCUAAUUUGUCUUAAAAAAGAAGAAAUUUAUGUCAAGCGAAGUUGAAUGAAAGAUUUGGUUUAUACUAACAGCCAUCCCUGCCAUCCACUGUUGCACACGCAUGUGUAAUUAGCGAUGCCGUCUAUACACUUGGCUCCAUUCUCGCAUUUAUUGUUGAUACAUUCGUCAAUAUUGAAGGAACAAUCGUCUUCCGUGUAACCCGCAGGACACUCGCAAACGUAACUGUUCGCUUUAUCAAGGCAGUAUCCAGAGUUUUUGCAAUCUUCGUCGAAGCAAAGUUGGCAACCGAUGCUUUCAUGAUGCGUCGAAUUAUUUUCUUUUAGUAUUAAAUAUUCCAAGGGUGUAAAGUUCGCGUUCUGAUAAACUUCUGCGUAUGUAAAAUAAUGUAGCAGCAUGCUGCCUAUUCGUACUUCGCCCAAACAUCCUUUGAAGGCCUCUCCUGCAAAACGGAAAGAGUUUUGUUACAGGAAAGGUUGCACAAUUCAUUCGAAUCAAUAAAAAUAUAAGAAGGAUAUUUCAACGCUUCGUUAAAGACAUAUAUAUAUAUUGCUUUGUAACAGCUUUAGUGGAUCACCUUGUCUAAGUAUAAGGAUCAUCGGAGUCUCUAACCGAUAACAAAGCAAGCGAAAGUUGAAUUGAAUCGCAGCCUUACCAGACAUUACAUUAUGGGGCGGCGAAACGGUGGUUAACGAGCGUUCGUUGAAGUCUAUCGAAUUAUCUUGUAUGCCGCUCCUGUUUUCCAACAUUUGUUUACCGGAGCCGAUGGUCACAUAACUGUGUCGCGCGGACAAACUGGAACCCAAUCCGCCCAGGGUCACCGUCCCGGUCACCAGUAAAUCGUACCACAGAGCGAAAUUGAAAUUCGGGCUGACGUGCGACGCGCUCUCCUCGUUAGAAUUCGCGUAGCCGCACUCCAUCGAAUUGUUAUUCAAUCUCAGUACUAUGGACGUCCAAUUUCCGUCAGCCUCGGCCUUGCCGAAGCUCAGCGUCCCCUGAUUUUGCAUAUCGAGCCGCCAAGACACGGUGAUCUUGUCCUUGUAAACGGAUACCGUGAAAUGCUGAUCGCCGACGCGCGGCGCGACGUGCAUCAGAGUGCCACCGGUGUUCGACCGGUACGUAAUUUGGAUCGUAUCGAUCGUCGAAUCGGUCACGUUCUUCUCCUCCACUUGAUUGUACACGUAAGUGAAGGAGGUCGUUAUGCCGUCGAAAGUGGCGUUGGCGAUGCACUCGUAGCCGUCGUCGAGGUUGACGCACUUCGACCCGGCCGGGCAGUCCUGCAGUUGACAAAACUCCAUCUCCUGGCAGGUCUUGCCGGUGUAUCCUCGCGGGCAUUGACACCAGAAGUCGUUCCACGUGACGUGACAGGUACCGUUGUGGUUGCACGGAUUGCUCACGCAGACGUUGUCCGACACGACGCCCUUCAAGACCUUGUCGUUGUCGAAGGUCACGUUGCCGAAUUGAAUUAGAGUGGGUAUGUCGUUCGCCUAAAGAAUCACAGAAAAACCGUUUUAGUUGAAUAAGGCGUCUAAUAGGGAUCUUGGCAAGUUACGAUCCGAUGGAUCGGACGAACAAAGACGCAAUAUGUGGGGUCGUAUAGUAAGCAAGCCUGUCAAGGUCUAAAAGCGACUGAUUUUGUUGCUUUAUGGAAACAGUCUUUAGAAUAUCAACAAUUUUCAAAGAAAAAAUCUGAAACCUGUUAGAACUAAGAAUACUACUCUUGUAAAUGAUGAGUUCUGAAAUAUCAUUUAAUUUCUGCGCGUGGUUGUGGUGUUGUUUCGACCAAUCCUUUCAAUGUCAGGAAAGAAAUUAUAAAUUGUCUGUGAAGCAGAAAAUUUGUUUAAAAUAUUUGAGUAGAAAGCAAAUGUAAUUUCCAGAUGAACUUGUACACGUUUAUUAAAAUAAAUGUGUAAUAUUAAACUGAGAAAUAAAGAACAAAAAAUUAUUCUCCUGUA